rnacentral:rRNA from 1 species
UACGUAGGGGGCAAGCGUUGUCCGGAUUUAUUGGGCGUAAAGAGCGUGUAGGCGGCCAGGUAGGUCUGCUGUGAAAACUCGAGGCUUAACCUCGAGCUGUCGGCGGAAACCAUCUGGCUAGAGUCCGGAAGAGGAGAAUGGAAUUCCCGGUGUAGCGGUGAAAUGCGCAGAUAUCGGGAAGAACACCCGUGGCGGAAGGCGGUUCUCUGGGACGGUACUGACGCUGAGACGCGAAAGCGUGGGGAGCGAACAGG